UAGGGAAUCUUCCACAAUGGACGCAAGUCUGAUGGAGCAACGCCGCGUGAGUGAAGAAGGUUUUCGGACCGUAAAGCUCUGUUGUUGGUGAAGAAGGAUAGAGGUAGUAACUGGCCUUUAUUUGACGGUAAUCAACCAGAAAGUCACGGCUAACUACGUGCCAGCAGCCGCGGUAAUCGUAGGUGGCAAGCGUUGUCCGGAUUUAUUGGGCGUAAAGCGAGCGCAGGCGGAAGAAUAAGUCUGAUGUGAAAGCCCUCGGCUUAACCGAGGAAUUGCAUCGGAAACUGUUUUCUUGAGUGCAGAAGAGGAGAGUAGAACUCCAUGUGUAGCGGUGGAAUGCGUAGAUAUAUGGAAGAAUACCAGUGGCGAAGGCGGCUCUCUGGUCUGCAACUGACGCUGAGGCUCGAAAGCAUGGUAGCGAACAGGAUUAGAUACCCUUGGUAGUCCAUGCCGUAAACGAUGAGUGCUAAGUGUUGGGAGGCUUCCGCCUCUCAGUGCUGCAGCUAACGCAUUAACGCACUCCGCCUGGGGG
rnacentral:rRNA from 1 species